AGAGUUUGAUCAUGGCUCAGAGUGAACGCUGGCGGCAGGCCUAACACAUGCAAGUCGAACGGCAGCACAGAGGAGCUUGCUCCUUGGGUGGCGAGUGGCGGACGGGUGAGGAAUACAUCGGAAUCUGCCUUAUCGUGGGGGAUAACGUAGGGAAACUUACGCUAAUACCGCAUACGACCUACGGGUGAAAGCGGAGGACCGCAAGGCUUCGCGCGAUAAGAUGAGCCGAUGUCGGAUUAGCUAGUUGGCGGGGUAAUGGCCCACCAAGGCGACGAUCCGUAGCUGGUCUGAGAGGAUGAUCAGCCACACUGGAACUGAGACACGGUCCAGACUCCUACGGGAGGCAGCAGUGGGGAAUAUUGGACAAUGGGCGGAAGCCUGAUCCAGCCAUGCCGCGUGUGUGAAGAAGGCCUUCGGGUUGUAAAGCACUUUUGUCCGGAAAGAAAAGCUUCGGGUUAAUACCCCGGGGUCCUGACGGUACCGUAAGAAUAGCACCGAUUUCGUC
rnacentral:rRNA from 1 species